rnacentral:rRNA from 1 species
UACGUAGGGUGCAAGCGUUGUCCGGAAUUAUUGGGCGUAAAGAGCUCGUAGGCGGUUUGUCGCGUCGAAUGUGAAAACCCGGGGCUCAACCCCGGGCCUGCAUUCGAUACGGGCAGACUAGAGUUCGGUAGGGGAGUCUGGAAUUCCUGGUGUAGCGGUGAAAUGCGCAGGAUAUCAGGAGGAACACCGGUGGCGAAGGCGGGACUCUGGGCCGAUACUGACGCUGAGGAGCGAAAGCGUGGGGAGCAAACAGG